rnacentral:rRNA from 1 species
CUAAACAUUCAAUAGCGGAGGAAAAGAAACCAACAGGGAUUGCCUCAGUAACGGCGAGUGAAGCGGCAACAGCUCAAAUUUGAAAUCGGGCUCCCGUCCGAGUUGUAAUUUGUAGAGGGUGCUUCGGGCGCGAUGCCGGUCUAAGUUCCUUGGAACAGGACGUCAUAGAGGGUGAGAAUCCCGUACGUGACUGGCGAUCAACCCCGUGCGAAGCCCCUUCGACGAGUCGAGUUGUUUGGGAAUGCAGCUCUAAAUGGGUGGUAAAUUUCAUCUAAAGCUAAAUACCGGCCAGAGACCGAUAGCGCACAAGUAGAGUGAUCGAAAGAUGAAAAGCACUUUGGAAAGAGAGUUAAAAAGUACGUGAAAUUGUUGAAAGGGAAGCGCUUGCAACCAGACUUGCACGCAGGCGAUCAGCCGUCCCUCUGGGCCGGUGCACUCGUGUGCGUUCAGGCCAGCAUCGAUUUCGGCGGUCGGAUAAAGGCCUCGGGAACGUAGCACCCUUCGGGGUGUGUUAUAGUCCGAGGUGCCAUGCGGCCAGCUGGGAUCGAGGCCCGCGCUUCGUGCUAGGAUGCUGGCGUAAUGGUUGUAAGCGACCCGUCUUGAAACACGGACCAAGGAGUCAAACAGUCAUGCGAGUGUUUGGGCGUCAAACCCAUGCGCGUAAUGAAAGUGAACGGAGGUGAGAUCCCGCAAGGGCGCAUCAUCGACCGAUCCUGAUGUCUUCGGAUGGAUUUGAGUAAGAGCAAGACUGAUUGGACCCGAAAGAUGGUGAACUAUGCCUGAAUAGGGUGAAGCCAGAGGAAACUCUGGUGGAGGCUCGCAGCGGUUCUGACGUGCAAAUCGAUCGUCAAAUUUGGGUAUAGGGGCGAAAGACUAAUCGAACCAUCUAGUACUUGUCUGCAU